rnacentral:rRNA from 1 species
AUUGAACGCUGGCGGCAUGCCUUACACAUGCAAGUCGAACGGCAGCACGGGUGCUUGCACCUGGUGGCGAGUGGCGAACGGGUGAGUAAUACAUCGGAACGUACCCUAUCGUGGGGGAUAACGCAGCGAAAGCUGUGCUAAUACCGCAUACGCCCUGAGGGGGAAAGCGGGGGAUCGCAAGACCUCGCGCGAUUAGAGCGGCCGAUGCCUGAUUAGCUUGUUGGUGGGGUAAAAGCCCACCAAGGCGACGAUCAGUAGCUGGUCUGAGAGGACGAUCAGCCGCACUGGGACUGAGACACGGCCCAGACUCCUACGGGAGGCAGCAGUGGGGAAUUUUGGACAAUGGGGGCAACCCUGAUCCAGCAAUGCCGCGUGAGUGAAGAAGGCCUUCGGGUUGUAAAGCUCUUUUGUCAGGGAAGAAACACCGGCUCUAACACAGUCCGGGAAUGACGGUACCUGAAGAAUAAGCACCGGCUAACUACGUGCCAGCAGCCGCGGUAA